UCUGCCAGCAGGAAUCGGCACCGGCGGCGUAAGAUAUUGGCUGGCUUGAUGUCUCGGUGUACUAUUUGCCGACGAUGACACUCCGUCACGGCUGCUGCUAACUGCCGCAUCACGCGGAAGAACCGAGACGGCUGGUUCCUCGGCCCUUCUCGACGCAGGAAGGCAUUUAGGUCCUCGUCGCACAGAGGCAUUACCAUAAAAAGGGACCUGAGUAUGUCGACUUCCUGGAUGGCGUGGUGAGUCAACAUAGUCCUUUUCACCGCCACUGCUUGGCCGUGUCGUUGGCCUCUAUAGACACGCCCAAAGCUGCCUUCUCCCAAGAUCUCCCCCAGGUGUAAAUGUUCCAUCUGAAACAUGUUAACUAGACACCUUUUGUCUUACGGAACACUGGUUCUGGUUGGCCGAGCAACUACAGUUAUUCAGAUCAACAGGUCAUAGACGACAGGUGAAACGACUUUAACAACGGUGAACGGACCGGAAAACUUCGGAGCCA